AGUGAACGCUGGCGGUAGGCCUAACACAUGCAAGUCGAACGGCAGCACAGUAAGAGCUUGCUCUUACGGGUGGCGAGUGGCGGACGGGUGAGGAAUACAUCGGAAUCUACUUUUUCGUGGGGGAUAACGUAGGGAAACUUACGCUAAUACCGCAUACGACCUACGGGUGAAAGCAGGGGAUCUUCGGACCUUGCGCGAUUGAAUGAGCCGAUGUCGGAUUAGCUAGUUGGCGGGGUAACGGCCCACCAAGGCGACGAUCCGUAGCUGGUCUGAGAGGAUGAUCAGCCACACUGGAACUGAGACACGGUCCAGACUCCUACGGGAGGCAGCAGUGGGGAAUAUUGGACAAUGGGCGCAAGCCUGAUCCAGCCAUGCCGCGUGAGUGAAGAAGGCCUUCGGGUUGUAAAGCCCUUUUGUUGGGAAAGAACAGCAGCAGGUUAAUACCCCGCUGUUCUGACGGUACCCAAAGAAUAAGCACCGGCUAACUUCGUG
rnacentral:rRNA from 1 species